AUGUAUCGUAGCAAUCGAUAGUUCAUGUGCAAGUGGAACAAAUAUUGAGACAUCGUAGUACUCGUGUAAAACAAACAGUCUUGUUAAACGGGAGCUCCUCAUAAAUGGGAUCAUCAUCCACCACAACAAAAGCUUUGCCGGCCAUUUCAUACGAAGUGAUUGAAAUAUGGUGAAUAGCUAGUUACUAUACUUCAGGUGACCAAACAGUGUACUUUUGAAUUUCCCUUGUAAAAAAAUUUCAAGUCCAAAAAUGGCCCCAAUACGGAAACAAAUUUAAACUGUAUUACUUCUAUGUGUUAGUUAUUCCGUUUGUGCCAACGAAUUUAGACCAAACAUUGUCGACCGUAACAUUUUUAACCACCGUGCCAUUACCAUCGGGGCCCUUUUCUAUCAUACAGAGGCUUGUAAUACCGCAUUUGUCCAGAUACGACUUGGCCAAAUGAUAAUUCAAGCCAACUUGAUGUGGUCCAUGACUAUCGUCAGAUAAAGUGAGUUGCGCUCCUUGUUCAACCAUCAGCUCAAGAAGUCGUUGCUGAGGAUACGCAGUCUUCCAUCCUUUGCGAAAUGCAGAGGUGUUAAUUUCAAAGAUACCACCAUAAGAAACAGCGUAUUUAAUGUUUCGUUGUAUAAGUUCCCAAACACUUUUCGAGUUCUUGAAAACUUCCUUAGCGUCUUCAGGUGCAAAAAGACAUAUCAAGUCAAAAUGACCAAUCACUAAUGGAUGCAACCGUUGCAUCAAGUCAUAUUGAUGCUCAAAAUAAUCAAUAAAGAGCUGUUCUGGAUUAUUUCCAACAUGUUGUAAGGCUUUUUGCCAUAGUUCAGGAGAAAAAUCGAUCGGAAUGGAGUUAACAUGAUGUACGCUGCCAACAAAGUAAUCCAAGUUGUAUUUUGUAUUGAGGCUUUUCAAAAGUUCAACUGACUCUGGUCGUAUGUAUUCGGUUUCAGCACCAAUUAGAAUAUUUAUUUGGUCUCCAUAGUUUUGCUUCAAUCGUCGAGCUUCAUUCACAUAUUCAUCAAACGUUUUAAA